rnacentral:rRNA from 1 species
ACUCCUACGGGAGGCAGCAGUGGGGAAUAUUGCACAAUGGGCGCAAGCCUGAUGCAGCCAUGCCGCGUGUAUGAAGAAGGCCUUCGGGUUGUAAAGUACUUUCAGCAGUGAGGAAGGUGGAGUCGUUAAUAGCGUGCUUGUUUGACGUUAGCUGCAGAAGAAGCACCGGCUAACUCCGUGCCAGCAGCCGCGGUAAUACGGAGGGUGCGAGCGUUAAUCGGAAUUACUGGGCGUAAAGCGCAUGCAGGUGGUUUGUUAAGUCAGAUGUGAAAGCCCGGGGCUUAACCUCGGAAUUGCAUUUGAAACUGGCAGGCUAGAGUCUUGUAGAGGGGGGUAGAAUUUCAGGUGUAGCGGUGAAAUGCGUAGAGAUCUGAAGGAAUACCAGUGGCGAAGGCGGCCCCCUGGACAAAGACUGACGCUCAGAUGCGAAAGCGUGGGGAGCAAACAGGAUUAGAUACCCUGGUAGCUACGAG